GGGAUGCUGAUGCUGUGCCCGCAGGACCACACUCUGAGAACUGCUGAUUUGCAUGAAGCCUGGAAGCAUGAAGUUACAGCGCGUGUUUGGGGAACUGAGCUGAGUUCCAGAGAGAAGCAGUGACUGUCCAAUGUCGCUCCUGCACCAGACCCCAGGGCUCUUGACCUUCAGCCCUGAGAUAAUCCUCAUGGUCUUUCAUGCUGUAUCUACAGUUGAAGAGAGAAGUUGACAUGGUAGCAUCUCAGAGCUCCACAAAAGGAGGAUUCAGAGCCGGCGGUGACCAGACAGGUGGAGCGUGUGAUACGGCUUCUGUCUGCGCGGAGGACAAUGGGCCGAUUCAUCACGAGGACCUGCGAGCUGGCCAGGGCGGAUGGACGUGAGGCCAGAGCUGCAGAGCUAGAAACAACCAGGAAGGAGGCCUCACCAAGAACCUGACCACACUGGCACCCUGGUCUUGGGCUUCCAGCCUCCAGAACCAUGAGAAAGAAACGUGUUGUUUAAGCUGCCUCAGUCGAUGGUAUUGUUACAGCUGCCCGAACGGACCAAGGCAGUGGCCAGAUGACAAUGAGUGAGCCUGUCACUUAGCGUGUCCCAAACAUAAGGCGUGCCUGUCUAGGUCCAGAUGGAGGUUGUAGAAGCACAGAGGUCUCUGCUGUGCUGACGUGUGUGAUGGAA